rnacentral:tRNA from 1 species
CGGGAUGUGGCGCAACUUGGUUAGCGUGCCUGGUUUGGGUCCAGGAGGUUGCACGUUCGAAUCGUGUCAUCCCGACCA